UCCCGCUAACAUAUUUAACCCCGCCACAUUAUUUAUGUAUGUGCCUGUCCCAAGUCAGGAGCCUGUAUAUUCAGUGGUUGUCGUUUGUUUAUGUGUUACAUAUUUGUUUUUCGUUCAUUUUUUUACAUAAAUAAGGCCGUUAGUUUUCUCGUUUGAAUUGUUUUACAUUGUCUUAUCGGGCCUUUUUAUAGCUGACUAUGCGGUAUGGGCUUUGCUCAUUGUUGAAGGCCGUACGGUGACCUAUAGUUGUUAAUGUCUGUGUCAUUUUGGUC
rnacentral:lncRNA from 1 species